GGGAAUAUUGGACAAUGGGCGAAAGCCUGAUCCAGCAAUGCCGCGUGAGUGAUGAAGGCCCUAGGGUUGUAAAGCUCUUUUACCCGGGAUGAUAAUGACAGUACCGGGAGAAUAAGCCCCGGCUAACUCCGUGCCAGCAGCCGCGGUAAUACGGAGGGGGCUAGCGUUGUUCGGAAUCACUGGGCGUAAAGCGCACGUAGGCGGCUUUGCAAGUCAGAGGUGAAAGCCCGGGGCUCAACCCCGGAAUAGCCUUUGAGACUGCAUCGCUUGAACGUCGGAGAGGUGAGUGGAAUUCCGAGUGUAGAGGUGAAAUUCGUAGAUAUUCGGAAGAACACCAGUGGCGAAGGCGGCUCACUGGACGACUGUUGACGCUGAGGUGCGAAAGCGUGGGGAGCAAAC
rnacentral:rRNA from 1 species